rnacentral:rRNA from 1 species
UACUAUACUAAAAUAAUAGAGAAACUUGAAUAUUAUAAGAUAUAAUCUUAAAAUUCAAAGAAUUUGGCGGUAAUUUAGUCUUUCCAGAGGAACCUGUUUUUUAAUCGAUAAGCCACGAAGAAUCUUACUUGCUUUUAUAAAUUUAAUAAGUUUGUAUACCGUCAUUAUCAGAUAAUGUUUAGAGAUGUAAAUUAUUGAGUUUUAAAUAAUAAGAUAAAUUAGAUCAAGGUGCAGCUCAUAAGUAAGUUAAAAUGGGUUACAAUUAGCUAAAUUAAUUAUGGAAAAAGAUUUGAAAAGGUCUUAGGAAGGAGGAUUUGGUUGUAAUUAAAAUUAGUAUGACAAAAAGAUAUAAGCUCUAAAUUAU